AUGCUGGGCAAUGAUGUGUGCUGGAUGAACAGCCUUAGAUGCCUCAAGAGAUUGUUCUGGGGUGGGGAAGAAACCCAGCCUGUGUUUUAUUUUCAGUUUCUUUCUGCGCAUCUCCUGGGAAUUGAGGAGGAACAUUCGCAGAGUCUCCUAACAAUCGGUUCCUCUUCUUCCAUGUUUAUGGAGCCCUGCUCUCAUUCUGAUGUGGCCUCCCGCCCUGGUGCUGUGUUACCUCUCAGCCCUGCCGUCUACUCGGGAAUUCCUUUGCAUGGAGUGCCAGGGGCCCCGCUACUCUGCAGGAUGAGGAGGUCCAGGAGAGCGAGUCCCAGGAGCAGCACUGGCUUUGCAGACCAAUGGACCUCAACUGAAGCCAAAUGUUGGCAGGCAAGUUGGUGA
ensembl:lncRNA